rnacentral:misc_RNA from 1 species
GGAUUACAAUUUUAUAGAUACAGGCAAUAAGGUCCAGAACCAUCCCAACAAAAACACCCAGCCCCAACCAAAACCUGGCCCAUUUACAAAGCAAAACCACCAAGGACCCUUUAAGCACACGGGAAGCCUAAACCACCUUAGCUACCACAGGGUGGCCUUGAAACACAUAGGCAACUCGAUCAUCCAAGACACCACAGCAGCUUCGUUCGACACCCAAAGUCAUAGUUGGCGUGGAGACCCAGAAAGAAGAUAACAGAAGCAACAGGAGAAAAAGCACCGACUACCAGCUUCCUAACGAUAGCUGGAGUAAAUACCUCAGUCGUCCGCCAGACCACACAUACAGCAAGCUCUCUAGCAAUGGCAUCCAUAAGCAGGGAAAGAAAAGCGUGACUCACCAAGGUCUAAGGUAUUUUUAGUCUGUCAUAGCCUUAGGUCGACCUUAAAGCUCCCUAGCAGGCGAACUACUCAGCAAAACUCUCUCUCCCCUUAAAUCAACACUUGUCAAGCCAAAGCUCACAAGCAUCUCAACUUGCAAGAAACAACACCCAAACAGAUCUCCAAAAAGCCCUACCCAUAAGCACAAAUCUGUUAAAAGAGAAAGAAAAACCGUAUCUGCAACCGAAACCUAGCUAAAUGGGAGAGCAACCCAUUUAUCCAAGAAAGGCAGGAGAACUUCGCUGCCCAGGAAGGGUAGGGAGGCUUGUCCGAAUACAAGAGAGGACUUCUCUGAAGAAGAAGAUGAAAAUCGACUGAGAAAACUUUUGAAGAGGAGAUUUUUA